AGGGACAGCGGCGUCACCUGCGAGGGACGCGGGGACACCGAGAAGUACCUCAAGAAGCUGCACACGCAGGAGCGCGCCGUCGAGGAGGUCAAGCU